UGGAAUAGGGGAGAGUGAAGGUCCCUCUCCCCAGAAUUCCCUGCCAAUGUGUCUUGAGCCUGACUGGGAGGACCCACUUUAAGGGUGAGAUGAGAGUUCAGUCUCCUAUAUCCAUUCAGUGCUCUU
rnacentral:sRNA from 1 species